rnacentral:rRNA from 1 species
GACGAACGCUGGCGGCGUGCCUAAUACAUGCAAGUCGAGCGGACCGAACAGGAGCUUGCUCUUGUUCGGUUAGCGGCGGACGGGUGAGUAACACGUGGGUAACCUGCCCGUAAGACCGGGAUAACUCCGGGAAACCGGAGCUAAUACCGGAUAACACCGAAGACCGCAUGGUCUUUGGUUGAAAGGCGGCUUCGGCUGCCACUUACGGAUGGGCCCGCGGCGCAUUAGCUAGUUGGUGAGGUAACGGCUCACCAAGGCGACGAUGCGUAGCCGGCCGGAGAGGGUGACCGGCCACACUGGGACUGAGACACGGCCCAGACUCCUACGGGAGGCAGCAGUAGGGAAUCUUCCGCAAUAGACGAAAGUCUGACGGAGCGACGCCGCGUGAGCGAAGAAGGUCUUCGGAUCGUAAAGCUCUGUUGUUAGGGAAGAAGAAGCGUCGUUCGAACAGGGCGGCGCGGUGACGGUACCUAACGAGAAAGCCCCGGCUAACUACGUG